UCGGGAAUAUUGGACAAUGGGCGCAAGCCUGAUCCAGCCAUGCCGCGUGAGUGACGAAGGUCUUCGGAUUGUAAAGCUCUUUUGGCGGGGACGAUAAUGACGGUACCCGCAGAAUAAGCCCCGGCUAACUUCGUGCCAGCAGCCGCGGUAAUACGAAGGGGGCUAGCGUUGUUCGGAAUCACUGGGCGUAAAGCGCACGUAGGCGGAUUUGUUAGUCAGGGGUGAAAUCCCGGGGCUCAACCUCGGAACUGCCUUUGAUACUGGCUGUCUCGAGGUCGAGAGAGGUUGGUGGAAUUCCUAGUGUAGAGGUGAAAUUCGUAGAUAUUAGGAAGAACACCAGUGGCGAAGGCGGCCAACUGGCUCGAUACUGACGCUGAGGUGCGAAAGCGUGGGGAGCAAACAGGAUUAGAUACCCGGGUAGUCCCUGAG
rnacentral:rRNA from 1 species